UGAACGCUGGCGGCGUGCCUAAUACAUGCACGUCGCGCGAACAGACGAGGAGCUUGCUCCUCUGACGUUAGCGGCGGACGGGUGAGUAACACGUGGAUAACCUACCUAUAAGACUGGGAUAACUUCGGGAAACCGGAGCUAAUACCGGAUAAUAUAUUGAACCGCAUGGUUCAAUAGUGAAAGACGGUUUUGCUGUCACUUAUAGAUGGAUCCGCGCCGCAUUAGCUAGUUGGUAAGGUAACGGCUUACCAAGGCAACGAUGCGUAGCCGACCUGAGAGGGUGAUCGGCCACACUGGAACUGAGACACGGUCCAGACUCCUACGGGAGGCAGCAGUAGGGAAUCUUCCGCAAUGGGCGAAAGCCUGACGGAGCAACGCCGCGUGAGUGAUGAAGGUCUUCGGAUCGUAAAACUCUGUUAUUAGGGAAGAACAAAUGUGUAAGUAACUAUGCACGUCUUGACGGUACCUAAUCAGAAAGCCACGGCUAACUACGUG
rnacentral:rRNA from 1 species